rnacentral:rRNA from 1 species
AGUGAACGCUGGCGGUAGGCCUAACACAUGCAAGUCGAACGGCAGCACAGUAAGAGCUUGCUCUUACGGGUGGCGAGUGGCGGACGGGUGAGGAAUACAUCGGAAUCUACUUUUUCGUGGGGGAUAACGGAGGGAAACUUAUGCUAAUACCGCAUAUGACCUACGGGUGAAAGCAGGGGAUCUUCGGACCUUGCGCGAUUGAAUGAGCCGAUGUCGGAUUAGCUAGUUGGCGGGGUAAAGGCCCACCAAGGCGACGAUCCGUAGCUGGUCUGAGAGGAUGAUCAGCCACACUGGAACUGAGACACGGUCCAGACUCCUACGGGAGGCAGCAGUGGGGAAUAUUGGACAAUGGGCGCAAGCCUGAUCCAGCCAUAUCGCGUGAGUGAAGAAGGCCUUCUGGUUGUAAAGCCCUUUUGUUGGGAAAGAACAAAAGCAGGUUAAUACCCCGAUGUUCUGACGGUACCCAAAGAAUAAGCCCCGGCUAACUUCGUG